CUUUUCCUACUAUGGUGGGGGAGAGGGGAGGAGGGGGUGGGUUCCCCAUCCCCCAGUGGCUGUCUCCCUGGGACAUACUGGUUUAUGUUACUGGGGGUUGGUCUGGGAGUAGGAGACUGCUCAAAAAAGCCAUUCAUCUGCUGGUAUUCAGGAGAACUUAAGGGACAAUCCCAGAACUGCUAGUUCUGGUGGGUCUACCUCUGUUUCCAGACAAUCUAAUUAUGGUUCCAAGCAAGACCUGCCAGACUCAGAAAUAUAAAAACUCUGGCAGGGUUUAAAGGCAUGUGCUCCCACGAAAGGGAGAUCAGUUGUUCAGAGGAAUCAAAAUGAUACAAAGGAACCAAGGAGAGCUGAAUAGUUUUUCAGCAGUGAAUUGUCAGACAUCAGGCAAGUUAAACAUUAGCUGCUUUUUUUCAAUAUUUUGUUCUUUCUGCAAAAUAAACAAGCUUUAUAAAAGCCUCUAGUGGGAAAUAGGUCACAUACUUCUGAAGAGAAAAACUGCAGAAGCAUGAACUAAACCAGACCUGCAGAGUAUUAAAGGAUACAAAGGAUACAGUAGCCCAAGCACCAAUCUAAGAGUGCAAGAAUUACAUAAUGUCCUCCGCUAUCUUGACUUACUGAGAAGGUGAGGUUGGAGAGACCACAAGAGGGGACAGAAGUGCAUCUGUAACAUCUGUCAUAUAUUUAAGAUCACCUUAUGGUUUUAGGAAUGGCCAUGAAUGUCACAACCUUCUAAAAGGAUGUUAAGAACUGUAACAAAAUGAUGGGAUAACUAUUUUCCAGUAAUUGUGGCAAGAACUUACUUUGAAGAGAAAGGUUUCUGGAGCUAUAACACUUUACCAGUGUAGUUCUUACGCAUACAAAGGAAAUAAUUCCAAACCCUGUCUUUGGGAGGUAAUGACAACUAAAAGGCCACCCACAGACUUGUCUAAUCUGUCAUUCUGAUUAAAUUUGACACUUGACAAUACUUAUCUAAUGUGCCUGCCUAAAGAACACAAUUUUCUCUGGUGUUUGGUUUAGGACUCUAAUCAGCCAACCUGGAGGAACUCUAAUAUAGCUGAGAUCAUGAAAAUUUGCUGGUUAUUGCUUUUAUCGCAGUAGCACACAGAGCUUGGGCUCCAUUGCACCAGGCACUGUCUUUAUAAAAACAUAGGGGGGUUUUGGGUCCCAGAUAAAAUACCACUUCCUUCCUGAGUUCUGUCCAAAAAAAAGCAGUGAUGCUGCAUAGAAAAAACCUGUUAAACUACACUUCUCUUCCAAUGCUUAGACUGUUAACUGUAGGUCCUCUGGGUCCAGAUGAAGGAGCUAUCCCUAUUUCAAGAGUUCUGGUAUUUUUUCCAGUUGCAACAAAGGUCUUUUGGACUACCACUAAUCUAUGCAUUCUCUAGACCAGCAGAGGACUUUAGGCCUCCCCUUCCUUCAAAGCAGCAGAUUCUUCUUUGUACAGGACGAAAUUUCAACUGCCACAGAGCAGUCCUGACCUCUGGUUACAGUCUAUUUGAAAGGGAUAUAAGCCCUUACCUUUUAACCAUAAGCCAACCCUGAAUGGAAGGAAUUUCUACAGUAAGCACUAAAACUGACCACUACAUGGCUUUCUGCAUUUUCUUCUGAAAUAACUGGUAUUGGUUACUGUCUUAGCCAUGACACUGGUCUUGAUGGACCACAUCUUUGAACCUGUGAAAUGGUAUCUGUAAGUUUUUGUUCAGAAAUGUUACCAGCAGGAUUGCCAAAGAGAGUAAAAAAUCUAUUUACUCUGAGCUUUUAACUAAGUUUGUCUUCUAGUAUUCUUCCCAACCUGUGAAGCUUCCUUCUAUGGUGAGCAGCAAGCAUCUAGAACAAAAAUCGAGUCAGCAGUACCACUCAAGGAUGAGCCUGAUGCAAGAUACCAACAAACCUGUCAAGUGGAGAUAACUAGCUACUGAUGACUACUGCCUGCCUGCAAAUAACUGAUUAAAUGAAGCUUUGGAUCUUUCAGAAUCUUUACUGCAGUAGUCUUAUUAUGGUCAAUGCUAAGCUUGCUUUAGCCCCUGGGUAUUUAUGUUAAGGAUGUAUAUUCUGAAAGGCUGGUAAAUAUGACUUUUUCAGCAACCAGCCAGUAUGAAGGAAGCUCUUUUUCCUAGAAUCUGUUGUUUGCUUGGUAUGUUGUUCAUAAAUGGGAAUAAAUGUAUAUCUUGCAUUCUGAACCUUGCUUUGACUAUUACCAGCCACUUCCCAGAACUAUGGGUUCGCAGGCUUAGCGAAAAGGAUACAAAUAUUCAUUUUGUCCUUGUCAUGACGAUGAUUUUGUUGGUUUGGAAAGAAAAUGUAUCUGGGUUUCACUGGGAGCUUUAGCCUCAGAUUUUUUAAUCCUGUUUAAGGAAGUCUCUUGUUGUACUCAGCCUUGGUUAGGCUGCAGCUGGAGUACUGCAUCCAAUUCUGGG